UUGGCUAAGAUCAAGUGUAGUAUCUGUUC
rnacentral:piRNA from 6 species